rnacentral:lncRNA from 1 species
UUACACUAGGACUUAUCUGACACAAUUCAUAUCAAUAGCUGAAAAUGAACAAUCAAUUUACAGACUAUGGGUGGAGUGGGGGGCAUUCUUAAAUAAUGACACAUUCACGAGUAGUCACUUCACAUGAUAAAUUGUAGAAAUACUACAAACUUUCAAAUAUUAGGUAACACCAUUUUGAUGGUCAGAAUUGCCUCAAAUAUCUUUAAAAAGUUAUGCAAGUUUGCAGUUAAAAAAAAUAAUCUCACAAAACACAUAGAGUACAUCGUCAAUACUACAGAAGGUAGUUAAAAAGCAUUAACAAUUGAUUUCCCAAGAUUUUUUUUAAUCAGUUACAUGUACACAAAGUCAUUGUACCAUUUACACAAAACCAGGCUAAUAUGGUUUAUAAAUACAUACAGCUGUGUCCAUUUUGAUAUUUUAAUAUACUUGUGAUGUAAUUUACUUAUAUAUAACAUUUUACAUACCAGCAUUACCACUAAUAACAACAGUAUGAAAACAUCAAUUCUAGGAACUGGAUUUUUUUUAAUACAUUUUGUCAUUAUGAUUCAAUGUUGGUCUACCAUGGUACAUUUAAAGUAAAGUUUAUUAUGGCAAAUUUAUUAUUGCUUGGCAGUGCAAUCCUGUUCUCCAAGUCAAUCUAAAAAGCAUGUUGAAAAUGUUUUAUAUGGUAAACAAAGCAGUCAUAGCAUGACUACUGGGUGUAUGAAGAGAAAUAGCUUUAUCUUUGUGAUAAUUUCCUUAAAUCAGAAACAAUUUUACCAACUAAUUUACCUCGUCAUUUACCUCAGAAUUCAAGUUAAGUAAUGUGGCCUCAGUAUGGUAGACACAACUGCUGAUCAUUUUACUUUACAGACAAUUUAAUAAUUUACACUUAAUCUAAAAUAAUAUAUGGUACAAAAUCUCUAUGCUUUUUAAGGCAAAUCUAUGGCUUUGAUAUUGAAUUACUACUCAUAGAAAUAUUUUUUUCUGAUUUAAGGUGUCAGAUUUGGGAUUUUCUUUUGAGGAAAACCCUGUAACGAGUAUAUUUAACAAAGGAUUAACAAAGGAAUACGACAAUACAAAUGUUAAGUAUGUGCCCAUGGCUUUUACAAAUUGUCAUCUGAUGUAUUAAAACAUUUUCUUAUCAAUAUUCAAAUUAAUUUUUUUAUUGCUUUUAUGUAGGCAUAGCCAAUGUCUCUACGACGAGAAAAUAUCAGAUGUUUUCAGAUGGGCAAUUGUAACCUAGGGCCGAAUGCAAUUAAAUCUGCCCUAGCAAUAUUUAUGCAGUAUCCUUGUCUACACAACUGCUGUCAUGCACACGUGUCUGAAAACUGAAAGCACUACCUGCUGUUUCUACCAAAACCAUUUUGCCAUUUUGUUUAUAACGGAAAAGGUAUGUUUAGAUUUGUGCUACUGCUUGAAUAUUGCAAUGUGGUUUCAUUGACUUGAGAUCCAUAUUAUUGCAGUACAUUUAUAAGAAUUAUGGUGGUCAACAAGUAAAGUUCCUCACAACACAAGAACAACAACAACUUGAACUUACAUUUGUAUAAAUGCAUUUGAUUAUGGUCUCAAUUGACUAAUGGUAAUAUGCGUUAAAGGAUUUAAGUCACAAUGUAUACAGUUGACUUGGAUUUUUAUGCACAAGCUAUUGAAGAAAUAUAUAACAGCACUAUAAUUGACUGGUUUUCUGCAUGCCCAGGGUAGACUGGAGUUCUAACGCUUCCAUUUUUGCAUGCGUCACAUGCAUGUGUCUGAGAAUGAGUGCAAUUGUUGUGAAGGAUGCAUGUUAUUGCCAUUUAUGGUGAUAAAACAACAACAAAAACUACUGCUGUCAAAUUAUCUUUUGAUUCAUCCCUGGACAUUUUUAUGGCGUCAGGCAAAGAAAGGUGCAAGCAAUCACUGCUUAAAAUCUGAGAAGCAUGUGUAUUGUAACACUAAUUGAUUACAGUAAGUGCAACCUGUUGUAGGUUUGAUGUGGUCUAUUUAGGGACAAAUAUUAACAGUCACUUUUCUUCUAUAAAGCACUUUCAACUUGGCCUAGGUUUCAGUCUGGAGUCAUAUAUUCUAAUUAAGCAGCUAUGGGGUUGUUAUAAAUGGGUAAACACCUGCAAGUAAUUGCAUAGCGCUUGUGGCUGUCAAACGUAAAGUGUAUUCUGACAACCCAUUCUUUCCACAGCCUACAGUAUUUAGAGCAUCAAGAUGCUUCACAGCAAACUCCAUUUAACAUUACUGGUUCAGCCAAUGUUGAACCACCAUUUGUUCAAUCAGAUGUCGAGGCCAUGAACAUGUGAUCUUUCUGGAGUUUUGCUGUUUUCCAGAUAUUUGCAUGAAGAUUUCAGCAUUUUAAAGGCAUUUAAACUACAUUCUAAAUAUGAUAAUGCAUUUCACCUAGUCUAAAAUAUGAAACGGUUUGAUUUGAUGUAGUAAUUUAAGAUACAGUUGGCAUAUAAAAGCAAAGUCAGGGACUAUACCGUGCUAUCAUUGAAUCCCAUAGUUUAGCACCUGUUGCCAUUUUUGUUGAGGUAUCUGAACAAAAAGACCACACUCACUUAGUUUAAACAUUGUUUGCAUGUUAUGGAUCUUAUAACAGAGCUUUUCUUGAUUGUUUUUGUUGUUUUUUACUGCUUUUUGAAACAAGCAAAAGUACAGAUUACUGUAUAAAAAGACUUGUUUUGGUAUAAUAAUGGUGUAAUGUCAGAAUGUUUUGCUAGUGCAGAGAAUACAAUGUCCCUGUUUGGCACUUAACUGCAAAACCAGAAAGAAUCAUCAAGAAAAGACGAUGUCUUAAUAAGAAAUAAUGUGAAAAAAGCGGCAAUAUUUGACUUGACUCAAUCUAAACUAAUGAAAUGUCAACAUGCUUUUACAGGUAGAAUGGCAGAUUGGAGAUUACUCUGAACACAAUAACUAUCAUAGCUGCACUGAACUUGCAAAAUGUACACCUGGCAUGCAUUGUUUUCAAUAAAGAUUGAAGCGUUCUAACAUCUACAAACACAUGGAGCAUGAACCUCCAUACAUCCUGAUGUUGAACUAAAUAAUGCAAGUAUUCAGGCCAUGUUAAACCUUAUAAGAGCAUUUUCAGCAUUGAGAGAUUAUGGGUAUGCUUCGUUUGACCAACUAAUUUGGCCACCUGAAACUAUAUGAAGAGACAAAAUGUGCAGCCAAGUUGUAGCAGGUUUCAUACUAUAUCUUUAUAGUAUACUUUUAAAGACCCACUGCCACUAAAUAUAUCUGAAAAGUUAUUAUUUGCAAUUGUCUCACUCUGUGUGUCUAUAAUUAGUAAGUCACAUUUGGGUGAAUUAUUACAGCAUUUCCCAUAAUCAGAUGAAAUUAUGACGGUACCAUUAGAAUGUAUUGUUUGUUCACUGACUAAAUAACUAGCAAGAAAGUUGUAAGUACUGUACAAUAAAUGUAGUGAUG